rnacentral:rRNA from 1 species
UACGGAGGGUGCAAGCGUUGCUCGGAAUUAUUGGGCGUAAAGGGCAGGUAGGUGGUCUCAUUUGUCUGGGGUGAAAGCCUUGAGCUUAACUCAAGAAGUGCUCCAGAAACGGUGAGACUAGAGUACUGGAGAGGGUCGUGGAAUUCCCGGUGUAGCGGUGAAAUGCGGUAGAGAUCGGGAGGAACACCAGAGGCGAAGGCGGCGACCUGGACAGUUACUGACACAUCAACUG